rnacentral:rRNA from 1 species
AUGGCUCCCAACUUCGGCCGUUCCAUCUCCUUCCCUCUGACCCCGGCGAGGUCAUUCUCAAAGUCAUCCCGCCACCUCCGCUCCAUCAGCCUCCCGGGCACCACCUCCUCACACCCACUCCUCGCCAGCCUCAACGCCCACAUCGUCACCAUCCGCGCCUGGAUCCAGGACACCGCCGCAGCAGGCUCAUCCCUCCCAGCCGGCCUCGCCAACAUCCACGCGCUCCACGCCGCGCUCGCCGACCUCCUCCUCCUCCCAGAGUCCAGGGCCGCGCUUCAGUGCACCACCAGCAAGGCCGCCGACAGCCUCCUAGACGCUUUCCUCCUCCUCGCCGACGCGCACCAGGGCUUCCAGGAGUGCCUCAUUUCGCUCAGUCAUGCGGCGGCCGAGUCCCGUGCUGCGCUCCGCAGGGGCGAAGCCACAAGGCUCGCGUCUGCCGCCAGGUCCCAGCGUCGGGCCGAGAAGGUCCUCGCUCGGCUCGCUGCGUCCAUCUCCGCCGUCUCCUCCAAGUGCGCCCGCCUGAACCUCGUCGGCGAGGAUGCAGAGAUGGCCGGUGCGAUCAUGCAGGCAGCCGCUGCGAGCGCCGCGGCCUCCGCGGCCGUGUUCUCAGCUGCCGCAUCAAUGUCGUACUCGGCAUCCUGUUGCAAGAAGAUGGCCAUAUUUGUUCCCGUGUUCGCCACCAGGAAGGCCGCCGCGCCGGAGACGGCAGAGGCGGCCAUGGAGAGACUGCAUGUGCUAGAGCGGUGCUUCGAUGAGUGCGAUGGCGCCUGCAAUAGGGUGUUCAGGAGCGUCGUGCAGACCAGGGUUUCACUUCUCAACGUCAUGACGCCCACGAUCUAG